GGAUAGCUCAGUCAAUAGAGCACGAGACUCUUAAUGUCAGGGUCGUGGGUUCGAGCACCACGUGGGGCA